GUAGGUGGCAAGCGUUGUCCGGAAUUAUUGGGCGUAAAGCGCGCGCAGGUGGUUCUUUAAGUCUGAUGUGAAAGCCCCCGGCUCGAACCGGGGAGGGUCAUUGGAAACUGGGGAACUUGAGUGCAGGAGAGGAAAGUGGAAUUCCACGUGUAGCGGUGAAAUGCGUAGAUAUGUGGAGGAACACCAGUGGCGAAGGCGACUUUCUGGCCUGUAACUGACACUGAGGCGCGAAAGCGUGGGGAGCAAACAGGGAUUAGAUACCCUGGUAGUCCACGCCGUAAACGAUGAGUGCUAAGUGUUGGGGGGGUUUCCCGCCCCUCAGUGCUGCAGCUAACGCAUUAAGCACUCCGCCUGGGGAUACGGUCGCAAGACUG
rnacentral:rRNA from 1 species